rnacentral:lncRNA from 1 species
CCAAGUUCGUGCGUUGUAACCAAGUCGGCCUCCUUUGUGAGGAUGGUUUUCCCAUAGUUCUUGGUGCUGGUUAAGCCACUGUUCAGAUAGAUGUCCUUCUUUACAAUCGGACUGUGAUAAGCUUUAGGACAAAUGCCACCAUGGCUGUUAGGUCUGGGAGAACCAACGUAAGCCAGUCCAAGUGUUCCCAUAUCAAAAUCUUGGUAUGUGAAGAGAUGAGCAAGGCACACAUGAGCUGCUUUCUCAGCAAUAUCAAAGCUAAAUUGCUCUAGCAGCAUUUUCACAUCCCAAGCAUCCUUCUUGUCAUCUGGAUAACUUUUUGCCAUAUUGUAAUGCUUUCCUCCAGGUGCUACACGUUCUGGCUCACUGUGGAUGAUAAUCUGCUCUAUCUGUAUGCCGUAACCUUUGAAGGCCUCAUUGUCCCACGAAGUAUUUCGGUAGAUGUCAUCCACUCUGUCUAUCAAUUCAAUCAAAUAGUUUAUAGUAGUACUCUCUUCCCCUCGGCCCAUGUACUUGAAAAACCGAUGAUCUGCCACUACCAACAUCUUGCAGGUAUCUUUGGAGCUCUCUGGAAUGGCUCUUUUCUCCCGGUGGAUGCUUGCUUCAUUUUGUUUACUCUCUUCCAGUCCUUUAGGUAAAAGUUCAUCUUCGUUCAGCUUUAAAUAACCACAUACUUUAGGGGAUUGCAGACGUGAGAAAUCUUUGAUAUCUUCAGAUCUGUAGACCAGCAAUCUUUCAUCUUGAACAUUAUCUAUAAAUCUCCACAGGGGCUCUAUAUUGUAUUCUUCUCCAUCAGUAUUGAUUCUUACAGUAAAGUCUUCAUCCCCGAUGUGUGCCACAACUUUGGAAUUAUGCUCCCCAACAACAUGUCCCGUGAAAAAGUCUUGCCAUUGAACACGAUACUCCUUUUCCUUCCCUUCACCAUCCACAAUUAAUGCUUGAAAUCUUUCUGAAAAGUGUUCAGCAGUUGCAGUUAAGUAUAAUUUAAAGUGCCUUUGCAGGGCUGAGAAACUUAAAAGCCUCUCUACAUGAGUCUCAGGCUGGAGGUCUCUCUUCUUCAGUGAGUGCUGCUGGAUACUGGACUGAGAAAGGAUGUCAUAGUUUGAGAGCAUGGAUUCAACUGCAUCGUAGCGCUGCUCGCGCGGCAGCCGCCCCAGCGCCUGCAGCCCGCCCGGCGCCCAGAGCAGCGCCAGGGCAGAGACCAGCCACAGCCGGAGUCUCAUGGUCCGAGCGCGCGGCUCCCUCCCGCUCCUCCGUCCGCCCGCUCCUCCGUUCCGUCGCUCACAUUCGGUCCGGCCAACUUCGCGCCCCGCCCGCCCGCAGCACCUCACGCCGCCCCGG